rnacentral:tRNA from 1 species
GGUAUGUAGCUUAGUGGUAGAGUGCUUGCCUAAUAUGCAUGAAGUCCUGAGUUCGAUUCCUCAGUACCA